rnacentral:rRNA from 1 species
AACGAACGCUGGCGGCAGGCCUAACACAUGCAAGUCGAGCGCCCCGACAGGGAGGCGGCGGACGGGUGAGUAACGCGUGGGAACGUACUCUUUGCUACGGAAUAGACUCGGGAAACUGGGAGUAAUACCGGAUGUGUCCUUCGGGAGAAAGAUAUAUCGGCAAGGGAUCGGCUCGCGUUGGAUUAGGUGGUUGGUGGGGUAAUGGCCUAUCAAGCGGACGAUGCAUAGCUGGUUUGAGAGGAAGGUCAGACACACUGGGACUGAGACACAGCCCAGAAUCCUACGCGAGGCGGCAGAGGGGGAUCGUGGAAAAUGGGCGCAAUCCUGAUCUAGCCAUGCCGCGUGAGCGAUGAAGUCAGUAGGGUUGUAAAGCUCUUUCAGGGGGGAAGAUAAUGACGGUACCCACAGAAGAAGCCCCGGCUAACUCCGUG